rnacentral:lncRNA from 1 species
AAUUCAGACUGAAAACACAGUAACUCCUCUGGCCCUUGCUGGGAAAUGUCCUGCCCAGGCCAUGGGCAGCACUCCAGCGCAGCUGACCUCCCACAAGGCCCCCAAACACAUGAUCCCACCAAAGGCUUGAACAGGGGAACCUCACAAGCAGGCAGAGAGCACACCUGAGACACAAGGACAAGUAAGUCAAGCAAAUGGGACUGAGAUUAAAGCCAGUGAAUAAAACUAAAGGUCACUUUACAGGAGUAUAAAGCUACAGUGGACAUAACGUGGCAUAGGUGAUCUUGACACCACAGAACUGUGAAGCCUGCAAUCCUACAAUAUAGAGGGGUAUGAGGAAGACAUCUCAGGAUACUGAAGAGUGUUGCAGAGGACCCACAAAUAGUCCUGAGCAUGAGAUGGUGGACAACAAACCCAUUUUUGGUGUGUUGCAGCAAGAGCACUGGCCUGCCAUGAUCUGCUACAUUCUACCUGGAAAUACAAGUCAGAAGUCAGCCUGUCAUAUUUUUUCAAAAGGUGACUUGUCAAAAUGAGACUUCUUUCAUAAAAUCAGUCUGGUUGGGCAUGGUGGCUCACGCCUGUAAUCCUAACACUUUGGGAGGCUGAAGUAGGUGGAUGGCUUGAGCCCAGGAGUUUGAGACCAGCCUGGGCAACAUGGCAAAAUCCCAUCUCUACAAAAAAAUACAAAAAUUAGCCGGGCGUAGUGUCACACACCUGUGGUCCCAGCUACUCAGGAGACUGAGAUGGGAGGAUCACCUGAGCCCAGGAGGUUAAGGCUGCAGUGAGCCAGGAUUGGGCCACUGCACUACAGCAUGGGUGACAGAGUGAAAUGCUGUCUCAAAAAACAACAACAAAAAAUCUCUCAAUCUGUCCAAAUAGAUUGUCUUCAGUAAUCUUUCCAUCGCGAUCUUGCUUUGUUUCUACUACUACUCUGAUGCUACAUAAUUAAGGUCACCAAUCGUUGUCACUGUCUUUCCAAACCUGUUGUUCCUUACUUCCUCCGGCCAUUCUUCCUUGUCCCCCUCCCAUUCAUCAUCCAGACACACACACACACACACACACACACAAAAAAAAAACAUACAUUUUAACAAUACCGAACUCCUUGUAGUUCCCCUAAAUGAAUCAUGUUGUUUCCCUUACCUGAAAUGCCCAAUCCCUUUUUUAUUUUCAUUGCUAACUCCUCUCAUCUUUCCAGAGUGUUCAUGUCUACCAGGAGUGUUCUUGUCCCUCCCAUUCCUUUCUACUCUAGCUCCACUCACAGUUCUGUGUAAUCCCAUCUUGUGGACUACCCCGUGUUAAAAAGAUUUGUUUACUGAUUUGAUUCUUCCCUCCACUACACCCCCCCAUAACACAAAAUGAGCCCCUUAAAAGCAGAAAUGUUGCCUCACUGGUCUCCAGCACCCAGUGGAGUAUUUGGUAUGAAUGUCGGUCGAACUGUACUCUCUCCAGUGUGCAUUUUGUUCCAGGAAGACUAGGUAAUAGCAGGACCAUUAGAAGCCUCAUCUUCAGGGCUGUUUGACAUUGAUUUUUUAAAAAAUACAUUUCCUGAGGUCUCACUAGUGCCAGAAUAUGAAAAAAAUAAUCAUUCUUCUCUGACUAAAGUGGAAUCACCAGUGAUUUAUUCUCUCCUUAAUCAGUAAUACUAGCUAACAUUUAUAUAGCCCUCACUAGGUCCCAAGCACUUUGAACAUAUCAUCUUAAUUCAUGUCUAUAACCACCUGCAGGUAGGCACUGUUGUUACCCUCCAAUUUACAAAGGAGGAAACUGAAGUGCAGGGAGGUUAAGUAAGUGGCAAGCUAGAAUCUGGAUACAGGUUGUCUGGUUCCAGGGACCAGGCAGUUAGCCAUUAUGCUAUGCGGCAUGAUUUCUUGCUUUCCUUGCCCUUUUUUCUUAAAUGUUUAAUUACAUAAGUAGCAUAUCAAUACAUUUAAAUUGUCAAAAAUUCAGAAACAAAGCAAAAACUCACUACUAUUUGAUGGGUAUCUUUCAAGAUCUUUUUCUUUGUUUAUGUACAUAUAUACAUUAUGUGUGUGUACAUAUACACAAAGAAAUAUGUAUUUUUAUGUAACUGGAUUAUGCUUUAUUUUUCUAUAGAUUUGUUUUCAUUUAACAAUUUGUCUUAAAGGUCUUUUCAUAUCGAUGCAUAUUGAUCUAUUUUAUUCUUUGAAUGUUGCAUAGUAUGGAUAUAUUCCAUAGAAUGGGUGUAAUAUAGUUUAGGUAACCAUUUUUCUUUUGCGAGUCAUUUAUGUUGUUUCUGAUUUCACUGUUACAAACGAGGCUGCACUGAGUAUCCUUGAACAUGUCUCUUCACAUUCAUGCAACUAUAUGUCUAGGAAAGAUCCUCAGAAACAAAAUUGUUGGGAUGAAG